GCGUCAGCUGUCAAAACAGAAGAGUUCAGUCCAGAAGGCAGCUCUGUUACUCUGUCCUACAGAUUCUCCAAACAAGCAGCUAGUGGUGAUUAUUUCUUCUGGUAUCGACAAUAUCCAGGAGAACCACCAGAGUUCCUCCUGUCUAUCUCAGGGGUUAAUUUAAUAAACAAAGCAGAAUCACUUGGAUCGGACACCAGGUUCUUCACUGACCUGUCUGAAGGAAAGAAACGAGUGGAUCUGCAGAUCUCCUCUGCUGCAGUGACAGACUCUGCUGUCUACUACUGUGCUGUGAAGCCCACAGUGACAGGAAACACCAACACUCUGUACAAAAACCUCUGGAGCAAAGACAACACAAUACUGAUCAACAUACACCAGAGGGAGUCUCUCUCUGUUAAACAUCAAUAG